CCUAGCUAAGACGUGUUGGUCACUGGAACUGCCUUCUCGUCGGUUGUUAACGACGCACGCAAAAACGAGGAAAGGUUGUAAUGGAGAAAUAGAGGCACGGUGACUGGGAGAAAUAAGGGAACGCCUCCCUAAUGCUGGUUCAAUGAGAGUCAUAUGACAUCUGUUACCCCUUGACUCCACAAUUACCUCCUAUGGGAAAUGUUGUGGGUCAUCUCCAGUCUUGGGCUCCCCCAGUAUCCACCAGCAUCCUCUCUCAGCAGUAAAGGUAUAUUGGUUCAAUUUGCACGACAUAAAUUAGACGUAAAAAAUUCAAAUGGAUUGCUGUAUAGAAGAAACAACUGUGAAACUUUGAAGGAUAAACAUUUGCUUCCUGUAACAUUUCUAACUUGAAGCUGUGUGUCUUUUAAUGAUUAUGAAUCUAACAGUUAAAAAUUGGUUGUUUUAAACAACAGUAAGAUUGGAGUAAUUCUUUAAGACCAAAUACAUCCCUUGAGAUCAAUAUAAUUUUACAAUGGCAUUACUGUAUAAUUAGUCUCUGUGGAAUAGUGCUAAAGCUCAUUCACUAAUAGAUUUUCUUUUAAAUCUUUUGUCUUCUUCAGUUCAUUUUUGUUUGAUUUUUAUUUUCCUAAAAAAAUUAAAAAUGAAAGAUGAUCGCUGUCACAAAUAACAGGACUCAAAAUGUGUUUUUUUAUUUAUUUAUUUAUUUAUUUAUUUUUAAUCUGUAUUAUCACCUGUAUGCCUGUAUAAUUAUAUUAGUCUCUUCUAUGGCUGAGUCAAACAUUCUUUUGGUUUUCUGCAUUCUGAGUGAACAAUGCAUCAGUGAGCAGAAAGGCUCUAUCUGACCUGUGCUGUGUCAGAAAAUAGCAGUCAUUGUUGUUGGGCAGUGUAGUAUGAUGUCUGAGAUGAGCUGAGGUCUUAGGCUCUGUGUUCACCGGCAUAGUGCCUGGGUCUGAAAGGGCUCAGCGCUCUGUAGCUGUUACAAAAGGGAGCUGUGUAGUGGGAUUGGUAUAGCUAGAUAAGAUCAGGGCAACUGAGGAAGUCUGGUCUGAUUGCUACAAAGGGCUGAGGUCAGGGGCAGGAGGAGCAGUUUACCCAUCUAGGUAUCAGAGGAUCAGGGGUUUUGGUGGGGAGCCGUGUGUGUAAUAGGUAUAAAAGGAUCAGUGUAAUGCAAUGGUAUAAAAUGAUAAAAAUCAGAGAAGGGGUUGGAAGGCUGUGUAUUGUAAUGGCUUCAAAAGCUAGGGGAUCAGAGAUUUUGUUGUUUGCAGGUGUCUACUCUUGCCCUUCUAUGUACUCCUAUGUGUGUGUGUAAGCACACAUUUUUGUAUUGAAUAAGUUUAUAUCUGUAUGCAUUUACUGAUGGCUAAGAAAGCCACAGCAGGCUGUGAUUAGAGCUGAAAGAGAGAGCGAGGUGAUGGAGAGGAUGCAGG